AAAGUGUAUGUUAUGCUCAGACAGUUGUUUAAUUUUAAGAUCUAAAUCCAGGGAGUGAUCAGUAAAGGCAGACAACAUGUUUGGUGUAAACAUAGUUUUACUGGAGACAAUGACUAUGUCAUCCACAUACCUUAGCAUUAGAUGUAUAUAUGUAUUUAUUGAGGGUAGAAUGGUUUGUUCCUUAUGCGUGAUAACUAGUUCAGCCAUGAUACCUCCAUUGCACCACCUAUUCAGAUUUCUACAUUUUACCAUUUCAUUACAUUCUACAUUUCUACAUAAACUGAAUUGUAUGUAAUUCAGUAGCAGAGGUCUCUUAAAAGACUAGGUGUGACUGCCAUCCCCUGUGUGUUCUCGAACAAAAACCUACCAUAUAUACUUGAAUAUAAGCCAAUCCAUGUAAAAGCCAACCCCCAACUUCAGAGUUUGAAAAUUGGUAAAAAGUGUGAAACCCAUGUAUAAGUCUACCUCCUGACUUUAGCAUUAAAAUUGAUAAAAAUUUGAAAGCAAUAAAUUAUGUGAUCUUUGAUUUUUAAUUAUUGAUAUAUUAAUGCC
rnacentral:lncRNA from 1 species